rnacentral:siRNA from 1 species
UUGUUGGUCUUCAACGAGG